CCCUUAGAUGUCCUGGGCCGCACGCGCGCUACACUGAUGCAUGCAACGAGUUUAUAACCUUGGCCUGAAAGGUCUGGGUAAUCUUUUGAACGAGCAUCGUGAUAGGGAUAGAUUAUUGCAAUUGUUAAUCUUGAACGAGGAAUUCCUAGUAAACGCGAGUCAUCAGCUCGCAUUGAUUACGUCCCUGCCCUUUGUACACACCGCCCGUCGCACCUACCGAUUGAAUGGUUCGGUGAAGAUCUCGGACUUCGAUAUUUAUUCUUUAUUGAGUUUAUAUUGUGGGAAGUUAUCUAAACCUCAUCAUUUAGAGGAAGGAGAAGUCGUAACA
rnacentral:rRNA from 1 species